GUUCCUUUAGAUGAGUUGGUUACAUCAUCUCCUUUACACGGAGAAGGUCGCCGGUUCGAUCCCGGCAGGGGACA